CCCCGGUGCAAGCGAGGUACCAGCCACAUUGGAAAAACCGUGUGGCAAUGGGAAGACGUGAUGCGGAGCGAAAUAAAGUAGCGAAGUCCGUGAGCUGUGCGUCAAGAAAAGCCGCUAUUGUUCAUACCAUACCCGUACCGUAAACCGACACAGGUGGAUGAGGAGAGAAUCCUAAGGCCGGCGGAAGAAGCAUUGUCAAGGAACUCGGCAAAAUGACCCCGUAACUUCGGGAGAAGGGGUGCCUGUGAAAACGGGCCGCAGAGAAUAGGCUCAAGCAACUGUUUAGCAAAAACACAGGUCUAUGCGAAACCGAAAGGUGAGGUAUAUGGGCUGACGCCUGCCCGGUGCUGGAAGGUUAAGAGGAGAGGUUAGCGCAAGCGAAGCUUUGAAUUUAAGCCCCAGUAAACGGCGGCCGUAACUAUAACGGUCCUAAGGUAGCGAAAUUCCUUGUCGGGUAAGUUCCGACCCGCACGAAAGGCGUAAUGAUUUGAGCGCUGUCUCGACAAUGCAUCCGGUGAAAUUGAAGUACCAGUGAAGAUGCUGGUUACCUGCGCCAGGACGGAAAGACCCCAUGGAGCUUUACUCCAGUUUGGUACUGGGAUCCGGUACUGCAUGUACAGGAUAGGUGGGAGGCUAUGAAGCGGUAACGCCAGUUGCCGCAGAGCCGCUGUUGGGAUACCACCCUUGCAGUAUUGGGUUUCUAACCAGCCGCCGUGAACCGGCGGUGGGACAAUGCCAGACGGGGAGUUUGACUGGGGCGGUCGCCUCCGAAAGGGUAUCGGAGGCGCCCAAAGGUUCCCUCAGAAUGGACGGAAACCAUUCGAAGAGUGCAAAGGCAGAAGGGAGCUUGACUGCGACACCGACGGGUGGAGCAGGUACGAAAGUAGGGCUUAGUGAUCCGGUGGUAUUAAGUGGGAAUGCCAUCGCUCAACGGAUAAAAGCUACCCUGGGAUAACAGGCUUAUCACUCCCAAGAGUUCACAUCGACGGAGUGGUUUGGCACCUUGAUGUCGGCUCAUCGCAUCCUGGGGCUGUAGUAGGUCCCAAGGGUUGGGCUGUUCGCCCAUUAAAGCGGUACGCGAGCUGGGUUCAGAACGUCGUGAGACAGUUCGGUCCCUAUCCGGCGUGGGCGUAGGAUAUCUGAGAGGAGCUGUCCUUAGUACGAGAGGACCGGGAUGGACGGACCGCUGGUGUACCGGUUAGACUGCCAAGUCUACGGCCGGGUAGCCAAGUCCGGAAGGGAUAAACGCUGAAGGCAUCUAAGCGUGAAGCCCCCCUCGAGAUGAGAUAUCCCAUCCGAAAGGAGUAAACCCCCUUGAAGACGACGAGGUUGAUAGGGCAGGGGUGGAAGCACAGUAAUGUGUGGAGCUGACUGCUACUAAUAGGGUGAGGGCUUGAUC
rnacentral:rRNA from 1 species